rnacentral:rRNA from 1 species
AGCGGACGCUGGCGGCAGGCUUAACACAUGCAAGUCGAACGCCCCGCAAGGGGAGUGGCAGACGGGUGAGUAACACGUGGGAACGUACCCUUUGGUUCGGAAUAACUUGGGGAAACUCAAGCUAAUACCGGAUAAGCUCUUAUGGGGAAAGGUUUACUGCCGAAGGAUCGGCCCGCGUCUGAUUAGCUAGUUGGUGAGGUAAUGGCUCACCAAGGCGACGAUCAGUAGCUGGUCUGAGAGGAUGAUCAGCCACACUGGGACUGAGACACGGCCCAGACUCCUACGGGAGGCAGCAGUGGGGAAUAUUGGACAAUGGGGGCAACCCUGAUCCAGCCAUGCCGCGUGAGUGAUGAAGGCCUUAGGGUUGUAAAGCUCUUUUACCCGGGACGAUAAUGACUGUACCGGGAGAAUAAGCCCCGGCUAACUUCGUGCCAGCAGCCGCAGUAA